AUUGAACGCUGGCGGCAGGCUUAACACAUGCAAGUCGAGCGCGCGGCGGACGUGUGAGUAAUGUCUGGGAAACUGCCUGAUGGAGGGGGAUAACUACUGGAAACGGUAGCUAAUACCGCAUACCAUCAGAUGUGCCCAGAUGGGAGUAGAUAGUAGGUGGGGUAAUGGCUCCCCUAGGCGACGAUCCCUAGCUGGUCUGAGAGGAUGACCAGCAACACGGGAACUGAGCCACGGUCCAGACUCCUACGGGAGGCAGAAGUGGGGAAUAUUGCACAAUGGGCGCAAGCCUGAUGCAGCCAUGCCGCGUGUGUGAAGAAGGCCGUCGGGUUGGAAAGUACUUUCAGCGAGGAGGCGUUACUCGCAGAAGAAGCACCGGCUAACUCCGUGCCAGCAGCCGCGGUAAUUC
rnacentral:rRNA from 1 species